UAGCAUCCACUGAUAGACCUGUUGCAGCAAUAAGUGGCCUCUGGGUUUGCACUAGGAUGCGAUAGUAAACCUCCUUAUGUCUACUUGUCAUCUGAAAGGUGGCUUGUAUUGACUGAAGAGGAGAAUAA